AGAGUUUGAUCAUGGCUCAGAUUGAACGCUGGCGGCAGGCCUAACACAUGCAAGUCGAACGGUAACAGGAAGCAGCUUGCUGCUUCGCUGACGAGUGGCGGACGGGUGAGUAAUGUCUGGGAAGCUGCCUGAUGGAGGGGGAUAACUACUGGAAACGGUAGCUAAUACCGCAUAAUGUCGCAAGACCAAAGAGGGGGACCUUCGGGCCUCUUGCCAUCGGAUGUGCCCAGAUGGGAUUAGCUUGUUGGUGGGGUAACGGCUCACCAAGGCGACGAUCCCUAGCUGGUCUGAGAGGAUGACCAGCCACACUGGAACUGAGACACGGUCCAGACUCCUACGGGAGGCAGCAGUGGGGAAUAUUGCACAAUGGGCGCAAGCCUGAUGCGGCCAUGCCGCGUGUAUGAAGAAGGCCUUCGGGUUGUAAAGUACUUUCAGCGGGGAGGAAGGGAGUAAAGUUAAUACCUUUGCUCAUUGACGUUACCCGCAGAAGAAGCACCGGCUAACUCCGUGCCAGCAGCCGCGGUAAUACGGAGGGUGCAAGCGUUAAUCGGAAUUACUGGGCGUAAAGCGCACGCAGGCGGUUUGUUAAGUCAGAUGUGAAAUCCCCGGGCUCAACCUGGGAACUGCAUCUGAUACUGGCAAGCUUGAGUCUCGUAGAGGGGGGUAGAAUUCCAGGUGUAGCGGUGAAAUGCGUAGAGAUCUGGAGGAAUACCGGUGGCGAAGGCGGCCCCCUGGACGAAGACUGACGCUCAGGUGCGAAAGCGUGGGGAGCAAACAGGAUUAGAUACCCUGGUAGUCCACGCCGUAAACGAUGUCGACUUGGAGGUUGUGCCCUUGAGGCGUGGCUUCCGGAGCUAACGCGUUAAGUCGACCGCCUGGGGAGUACGGCCGCAAGGUUAAAACUCAAAUGAAUUGACGGGGGCCCGCACAAGCGGUGGAGCAUGUGGUUUAAUUCGAUGCAACGCGAAGAACCUUACCUGGUCUUGACAUCCACGGAAGUUUUCAGAGAUGAGAAUGUGCCUUCGGGAACCGUGAGACAGGUGCUGCAUGGCUGUCGUCAGCUCGUGUUGUGAAAUGUUGGGUUAAGUCCCGCAACGAGCGCAACCCUUAUCCUUUGUUGCCAGCGGUCCGGCCGGGAACUCAAAGGAGACUGCCAGUGAUAAACUGGAGGAAGGUGGGGAUGACGUCAAGUCAUCAUGGCCCUUACGACCAGGGCUACACACGUGCUACAAUGGCGCAUACAAAGAGAAGCGACCUCGCGAGAGCAAGCGGACCUCAUAAAGUGCGUCGUAGUCCGGAUUGGAGUCUGCAACUCGACUCCAUGAAGUCGGAAUCGCUAGUAAUCGUGGAUCAGAAUGCCACGGUGAAUACGUUCCCGGGCCUUGUACACACCGCCCGUCACACCAUGGGAGUGGGUUGCAAAAGAAGUAGGUAGCUUAACCUUCGGGAGGGCGCUUACCACUUUGUGAUUCAUGACUGGGGUGAAGUCGUAACAAGGUA
rnacentral:rRNA from 1 species